rnacentral:rRNA from 1 species
CAGCACCUCAAGUGGUCAGGAUGAUUAUUGGGCCUAAAGCAUCCGUAGCCGGCGCUGUAAGUUUUCGGUUAAAUCUGUACGCUCAACGUACAGGCUGCCGGGAAUACUGCAGAGCUAGGGAGUGGGAGAGGUAGACGGUACUCGGUAGGAAGGGGUAAAAUCCUCUGAUCUAUUGAUGACCACCUGUGGCGAAGGCGGUCUACCAGAACACGUCCGACGGUGAGGGAUGAAAGCUGGGGGAGCAAACCGGAUUAGAGACCCGAGUAGUCC